UCUUGUGAUGAUUUGUCAAAUCAUUUUUUUUCUUGCAUCAGUGUUAUUGUCAAAGGAAAUUAUAUAAGAGUACAGUAUGUUGACGAUUAUGUUGCUACCAACGCUUUACACCAGCAGUCAGGUAGACUAUGUAAGUUGCAGUAUUAGUUUCGUGUGCUCUCUGGUUAGACUGUGCAUCACCAGCAGCUCCCACCAGCGAGGACGGGGCGAGGAAGCGAAGCGGGGCUUUCUUUGCUAUCUAUUUUUUUCUUCGUCAGGCGCAAUGCCGCCUGCUCGCGGGGGCGCAGGCACGGCGGCAGGGCCGCGAGUUCCCGCCAAAUGCUAGCUCUGGAUGCCAGCUCAUUUCGCAUCUCGACAGCUUGGUAGACUAGUUGGCGCAUUUCUGUUAUCAUGUACUGCGCAUAUAAACGCGAACUACACAAGGUAACAUGGACAAGGAGAGUGCAAGCCCUUUCCAUGGAGUGGAGCCGCCGUGUCUCGCCGUUCAGGAUAUGCGUACUCGUAAGUGGCAUUUUAACUUUACGUUGUGUAGUACAUGACCGCCUUUGUCAAAUGAACAAAACUCGCUUUGUAUUGCGCAAAUAGUUUUGUAACGUAUGAUGAACUCCUUGUUUUUGUGUUGUUUUUCUGGCAGGAAGAAAAUAAAGAUCUUUAUAUGAGAACAUAUCAAGCGUUCGAGAGUUGGGACAAGGAAAUGAAACACUGGAACGACACUGCUUAAAUUGAAGCAUGGUGUGCGAACGACCUGCUACGCUCGGAACUGUUAUCGCCGUUCGGGGAGAAAUCAGAUGAAAAAACAAAACUUUUGUAUGAGCACUGUAACUAUCCAAGCUCCACUCUCGACGGGGACAAAGAAAUGCCGGGUGCUGUACCGUUCAUAGCCAAUUAAGCACAUAGGAACGGCUGAAGAAGAGCCUCCCAGGCACUAUGCGAAAUUCUCACAGCAGACCAGUAUUGUCCUUUAUCUGUAUCAUACUAUUUCAGUGGAGAAAGACUACUUGCAAAUUGUUAACACUGCUGCACGAAAAAAUUAAUGUAUUUUAUGAUUGCAAAAUAAACACGUAAAAAAAAUUG